GAUGAACGCUGGCGGCGUGCCUAAUACAUGCAAGUCGAGCGAACAGACGAGGAGCUUGCUCCUCGGAUGUUAGCGGCGGACGGGUGAGUAACACGUGGAUAACCUACCUAUAAGACUGGGAUCACUUCGGGAAACCGGAGCUAAUACCGGAUAACAUGUUGAACCGCAGGGUUCAACGGUGAAAGACGGUCUUGGUGUAACUAAUAGAUGGAUCCCCGCCGCAUUAGCUAGUUGCUAAGGUAACGGCUUACCAAGGCAACGAUGCGUAGCCGACGGGAGGGAGUGAUUGCCGACCCUAGAGCUGAGACGGGCACAAGGGGCCUACGAGAGGCCGCAGUAGGGUACCUGACGCAGCGGUCGGGAACAUGGCGGAACAGCGCCGCGCGUGAGGCAGAGGUGUUCGGAUCGUGAAGCUCUCUUAUUAGUGAAAAACAGAUGUCUACGUAAAUGUGCACGUAUUGACGGUACCUAAUCAGAAAGCAACGGCUAACUACGUG
rnacentral:rRNA from 1 species